AAAAACUUGUCGGAGUGCCAUUUGGCUGAGAUCGCAUAAUUAAAUGCGGGAUCCGCGGAACCUGAUCAGGCUUAACCACCUGCGUAGGGAACAAGAAAAUUUACUUU
rnacentral:ncRNA from 2 species